UCCUGACCUCGGAUCAGACGUGAUUACCCGCUGAACUUAAGCAUAUCACUAAGCGGAGGAAAAGAAACUAACAAGGAUUCCCCUAGUAACUGCGAGUGAACAGGGAUUAGCCCAGCACCGAAGCCUGUGGUCAUUUGAUCACUAGGCAAUGUGGUGUUCAGGUUGUUCCGCAAAGGUACUGCUCCACCCUAAGUCCAUCAAUGAGUACGGCGUACGGACAUGGCCCACUGAGGGUGAAAGGCCCGUGUGGGUGGAGUUCAAGCAGGCCAGUGCCUUUCUGGAUAGAC
rnacentral:rRNA from 1 species